rfam:Serratia marcescens FGI94, complete genome.
CUGAGAUCACAACUCCUAGCCCCUGUGCCUACGUCGCUUGGCGAUAUGGCGCCCGGGCCGUGGCGAAGUCAGCCACCAGGGUGCGCGAUAGAAAUGUCCGCAUCUCCCGUAUUUGGAAAGGUGUUAUGGUGCCCCAACU